CUGUAGCCUAAUAUUGGGUUUCGAUGUUGCAUGCACAGGAUAGAUGGGACACUGGGAAACAAUCGCUUUGGCGGUUGCGGAGUGGCCGUUGGGAUACCAUCCUUGCGAUAUUGGAAUUCUAACCUGCGGCUCUGAAUCGAGUCGGGGGACAUUGUUAGGUGGGCAGUUUGACUGGGGCGGUCGCCUCCUAAAAAGUAACGGAGGCGUUCAAAGGUUCGCUCAGCUUGAACGGAAAUCAAGCAAAAGAGUGCAAACGCAGAAGCGAGCCUAACUGCGAGACUGACGGGUCGAGCAGUAACGAAAGUUGGAGUUAGUGAUCCGGUGGUAUGUGAGUGGAAAUGCCAUCGCUCAACGGAUAAAAGUUACCCUGGGGAUAACAGGCUGAUCUCCCCCAAGAGUCCACAUCGACGGGGAGGUUUGGCACCUCGAUGUCGGCUCAUCGCAUCCUGGGGCUGAAGUAGGUCCCAAGGGUUGGGCUGUUCGCCCAUUAAAGCGGUACGCGAGCUGGGUUCAGAACGUCGUGAGACAGUUCGGUCCCUAUCUGUCGUGGGCGCAGGAUAUUUGAUGGGAGCUGUCCCUAGUACGAGAGGACCGGGACGGACGUACCUCUGGCGCACCAGUUGUUCCGCCAGGAGCAUAGCUGGGCAACUACGUACGGAUCGGAUAAACGCUGAAAGCAUCUAAGCGUGAAGCCGACCCAAAGAUAAGAUAUCCCACUGAUUUGAUCAGGUAAGACCCCUUGAAGACUACAAGGUCGAUAGGCACGAUGUGUAAGUGGAGCGAUCCAUUCAGCAAGCGUGUACUAAUAGGUCGAGGGCUUGACCAC
rnacentral:rRNA from 1 species